UCAAAAGCGUCAAACGCAUACAACAAAAACAUUAGCAAUUAGCUUGAUUAACAGAGUACAAACAUAUCACGCCAUGAUCUGGAUUUUACUUCUCGUCUUGACAACCUCCGCUGUGGGAAGCACCUUCAGGAGCGUCUGCUACUACACCAACUGGUCGCAGUAUCGGCCGGGGCGGGGCAAAGUACGUCCCUGAGAAUGUCGACCCCACCCUCUGCACCCACCUGAUCUACGCCUUCGCCAAGCCUGACAACGCCACCAUCCACCCAUUUGAGUGGAACGACGACUCCACCGAGUGGAGCAAAG